GCUGGGUGCAGUGGUGUAUGCCUGAAGUCCCAGCUUCUCAUUUUCCAUAGUUUUGGGCUGUAGUUCACUAUGCUGAUCUUUGUCCAUACUAAGUUCAGCAUCAAUGUGGUGACCUCCUGGUAACAGGGAAACCACCAGAUUGCCUAAAGAUGGGAUAUUCAGCCCAGGGCAAAAAAACAGAAUAGGUCGAAACUUUUGUGCUGAUCAGUAGCUGGAUCACACCUGUGAAUAGCACCUUAGCAAUAGUGAGCC
ensembl:misc_RNA Metazoa_SRP Metazoan signal recognition particle RNA